ensembl:rRNA 5S_rRNA 5S ribosomal RNA
CAUAGUAGGCCAUACUACCUUGAACACAGCCAAUGUCAUCUGGUCUUGGAAGCUCAGCAGGGUCAGGCCUGGUUAGUACUUUGAUGGGAAACAUAACAAUUUAAGGUCCACUUUGC